rnacentral:sRNA from 1 species
UGUCUAACAGAGCACGGGCGACAUGAUA